rnacentral:rRNA from 1 species
UCGCCUGUUUAACAAAAACAUGUCUUUUUGAAAUUUUUUUAAAGUCUAACCUGCCCACUGAAUAAAUUUAAAUGGCCGCAGUAUACUAACUGUGCAAAGGUAGCAUAAUCAUUAGUCUUUUAAUUGAAGGCUGGUAUGAAUGGUUGGACGAGAUAUUAACUGUUUCAUAAAAAUUUAUAGUAGAAUUUUAUUUUUUAGUCAAAAAGCUAAAAUAAUAUUAAAAGACGAGAAGACCCUAUAAAUCUUUAUAUAUAAAUUGUUGGAAUUUUGUAGAUUUUUUUUAUUACAAUAGUUGAUUAUAUUUUAUUGGGGUGAUAUUAAAAUUUAAUAAACUUUUAAUUUUUAAAAUCAUUAAUUUAUGAAUAAUUGAUCCGUUAAUAGCGAUUAAAAAAAUAAGUUACUUUAGGGAUAACAGCGUAAUUUUUUUGGAGAGUUCAUAUCGAUAAAAAAGAUUGCGACCUCGAUGUUGGAUUAAGAUAUAAUUUUAGGUGUAGCCGCUUAAAUUUUAAGUCUGUUCGACUUUUAAAUUCUUACGUGAUCUGAGUUCAGACCGGA